rnacentral:rRNA from 1 species
UACGUAGGGGGCAAGCGUUGUCCGGAUUUAUUGGGCGUAAAGAGCGUGUAGGCGGCUGGGUAGGUCCGUUGUGAAAACUCGAGGCUCAACCUCGAGACGCCGAUGGAAACCCCCCAGCUAGAGUCCGGAAGAGGAGAGUGGAAUUCCUGGUGUAGCGGUGAAAUGACGCAGAUAUCAGGAAGAACACCCGUGGCUAAGGCGGCUCUCUAGUACGGUACUGACGCUGAGACGCGAAAGCGUGGGGAGCGAACAGG